ACUAUUCACACAAGGUGAGGUUGACCAGUACAUACACAAACUAUUCACACAAGGUGAGGGUGACCAGUACCCUACACAACUAUUCACACAAGGUGAGGUUGACCAGGACCUCACACCAGGGUGAGGUUUGACCAGUACCAUACACAACUAUUCACACAAGGUGAGGUUGACCAGGACCAUACACAAACUAUUCACACAAGGUGAGGUUGACCAGGCGCCAUACACAACUAUUCACACAAGGUGAGGUUGGACCAGGACCUACAACAACUUCACACAAGGUGAGGUUGACCAGUACCAUACACAACUAUUCACACAAGGUGAGGUUGACCAGUACCAUACACAAACUUUCACACAAGGUGAGGUAACCAUACCAUACACAACUAUUCACACAAGGUGAGGUUGACCAGUACCAUACACAACUAUUCACACAAGGUGAGGUUGACCAGUACCUACACAACUAUUCACACAAGGUGAGGUUGACAGACCAUACACAAACUAUUCACACAAGGUGAGGUUGACCAGUGACCAUACACAACUAUUCACACAAGGUUGAGGUUGACCAGGACCAUACACAACUAUUCACACAAGGUUGAGGUUUGACCGUACCCAUACACAACUAUUCACACAAGGUGAGGUUUGACCAGGACCAU
rnacentral:lncRNA from 1 species